CGGAGGCCAAAACAAACAAGCACGGUACCGUCCUUGUUACAAAAUUUCCAUUCCAUCCAAAAGCAAAGAGAAGCAGGGAGAGAAAUCUGAGAGAGAGAAUGAAGAAAGAGGAGGAAGCAAAGGGAGAUCAAAAAUCUGUCCAAGGGCUCGCUUCGCUCGCUCGUCCACACUACCCGUCGAAGCCCGUCCGGCUCCAGACGGCGUCGCGCACCCGCGACAUGUCCCGGCCCUUGAGCGUCCGGCCGGCGCCCUCCACCACGGACGCCCGCGCCUGCCGCCGCGCCAGGUACACGUGCGGCGGCACCCACCCGGCGCCCUGCCCCUGCCUGCCGUCGUCCCCCUCCCGCCCUUCGUCGUGGUCGUCGCCCCCCAUCUCCAUCUCGAACAGCAGCGACGGGUCCGCGUCCGGGAACGCGAAGCGGGCGGGCCACGCGGGCACCUCGACGGGAGCCGACGCCGCCGCCUGCCGCCCGGGCCCGUCGCCGAACGCCCGGCUCAGGCCGCCCUGCCGCGGGCCGCGCCUGCCCUCCGCCGCCUCCACCUGCCUGGACGCCGUGGCGCGUGGGCUCCCCGGGUCGUUGGUGGCGGCGGCGGCGGCGGCCGAGUACCAGACGUCGGCCUCGGCGAGGUCCGGCAGGUCGUCGAAGGCGGCGGGCGCCGGCGCCACGGCCCCCGGCGACGGCCCGCCGCGGGGGAAGCCGAGGAACCGCUCAGCGGCGGCGAACGGCGACCUGCGCGCCUUGGCCAUCGCCGACCGCGCUCGCGUCGUGCGGCGCGAGGAGAGGAAAGCCGGGCGCGCACGAGACCUGCUGACCUGAUGAGAGAGAGAGAGAGAGAGAGAGAGAGAGAGAGAGAGAGGGCGGAAGGUGUGGAAGGGAAGCGAAGGCAGGAGGGAUUUUG
rnacentral:misc_RNA from 1 species